rnacentral:ncRNA from 2 species
GAGAGGCUCUCUUAGAUAAGUGUCUCUUGCUACGGCUUGAGAAGAAUAGGGAAACAGGUGAGAAUCCUGUGCGGUGACGCCGCUGUAACGGAUGACGAAAGCCUAAAUUCUCUAUAGAAAUAUAGAGAAUUCAACCACUGCUUUUAAAGCGGGAAGGAGGGUAAUUAGGAUGAAUCCGAAGUCAGAAGACCUGCUUAUCUAUGCUCAUCACA